rnacentral:rRNA from 1 species
AUUGAACGCUGGCGGAAUGCUUUACACAUGCAAGUCGAACGGCGGCACGGACUUCGGUCUGGUGGCGAGUGGCGAACGGGUGAGUAAUGUAUCGGAACGUGCCCAGUCGUGGGGGAUAACGUCGUGAAAAUUACGCUAAUACAGCAUACGAUCUAUGGAUGAAAGCGGGGGACCGCAAGACCUCGCGCGAUUGGAGCGGCCGAUAUCAGAUUAGGUAGUUGGUGGGGUAAAGGCCCACCAAGCCAACGAUCUGUAGCUGGUCUGAGAGGACGACCAGCCACACUGGAACUGAGACACGGUCCAGACUCCUACGGGAGGCAGCAGUGGGGAAUUUUGGACAAUGGGCGAAAGCCUGAUCCAGCCAUUCCGCGUGCAGGAUGAAGGCCCUCGGGUUGUAAACUGCUUUUGUACAGAACGAAAAGGUUUCUACUAAUACUAGGAGCUCAUGACGGUACUGUAAGAAUAAGCACCGGCUAACUACGUGCCAGCCGCCGCCGUAA